rnacentral:rRNA from 1 species
UACAGAGGGUGCAAGCGUUAAUCGGAAUUACUGGGCGUAAAGAGUGCGUAGGUGGUUGGAUAAGUUAGGUGUGAAAUCCCUGGGCUCAACCUAGGAACUGCGCUUAAAACUGUUCGGCUAGAGUAUUGUAGAGGAUAGUGGAAUUUCCAGUGUAGCGGUGAAAUGCGUAGAUAUCGGGAGGAACACCUGAGGCGAAGGCGGGCUACUGGGCCGAUACUGACGCUGAUGCGCGAAAGCCAGGGGAGCGAACGGG